CUGAAGGAGUUGCUUCCGAGCGCGUCGAUGGGCAGGAUCGUCGAACCACCGCUGCGCACGCGCACAGUAGGCUUCCGUAGCGCCCCUUCCAUUGGAUAGUCCCGCCUGGCUGUGGGAGGAGAAAAGGCUCCAUAUUGAAUAGUAUUUAUCUACCCAGUGACUGGGCUGGAGAGGCAGUGGUGUCUCUGUAUAUAAAUGAUGAAACUGUGACUUAGAGAGGCUUAGUAAACUGCCUGAUGCACACAACUAUGUGCAGUGAUGAAUAUGAGAGUCAAACUUGGAUUUACUCCAAAGUCUUUGUUCCUUCCGUGGCAGUAAAGCAAAGGAGAAGAGAAAGGCAAGAAGUUAGCCCAGUUGAUUGCUUGGCGUCAUAUACAGAAAGCAGCUGGCUGGCUCACUGGAGUUUUGAUUAUGGCUGGAUUGGCUGGAUGUUGGUGUCAUGUAGACUGAUGUUAUGACUGGAUACAGAGGUGGAACAGAGCCAGUUACAGGAAAAGCAAUUGUUUGUUUAGAUGGCCAGGUGAAAAAGGGGCACUGCCAAGCAAGUCUCAAGGAAAUGUGCACCCUCCACAGGAAGUUUUAUUAUUGGCUUCUGGGGAAGUGGUAAGUUUGCAAAUAUCAUCACACAUUUAAGUGCAUUCUUAAGACACAUGUGACAGCUUGACAUUUGGGAGAGAAAUUCUGCUGGUUUCUAAGUUCCGAGUCUGCCAUGAAAUGUCUGUGGAACCUGGGUUAAAACAUGUCAUUUUCUGACUCUCAGUUUCUUCUGUGUAAAACAAAACGGAUGGAUGAUGUACAAAAUGAGGUUCUCCAAUUCUUUUAUGAGACAGGCACUUAAGCACAUUGUUGUGCUCUGGUAGGGAAAUCUUUCUGUCUACAAAGACCUCAAAGAGGACACAAGGGUAGUGUUCUCUGCUAUGAAGUGGAUUCAGUGGAAGGACUUGAUCAUAUUCUGAGAUACUUCAGCAUUUUUGCCUUCUGUAAAUUCUUCACCUACGAAACAGGUUAGAGCAGGAAGGAAAAUGGCAAUUGUAGGUUUAGGACAGAGUGGAGCAAACCUUUCUUGUUUCUCUUGGGGAUUAGCUUCAAGGAUGGAGGGAGGGUAUUGAUACUGACAACAGAGACACACUCUUAUCUGAAAUUCAGAUCAAAUGAUUCCACCCUGUAGAGCAUUCCAUGACAAUGGCCUUUCCAGGAGCAUGAAUCUAUACACAGCCCAGUAGUUAAUUUCAAUCAGCAGGCUUUGCUGGUAUUGCUGCUCCCAUUUUAGAUUUACAAAGCCAUUCUUGAUGAAGACAAUAAAAGCCUCCUGUCCCUCUGGUAUUGCAUUAUGCUCUGACACUUUAUCAGGGCACACAGACAGACGGUUGUUCUAAACCAUAUAUAAAAUGGAGCAAGCUCACAAAUCAUGCUUUGAUAUUGCACUGUGCAAACACCAAGGUUAAAAGGUAAAUCUGUGCUGUAACCGUAUUGAUUAAUUGAUGUUAAGAAAGGUCAGAUUAAUCUUUAUCUUGCUUGAAAAACUCUAGUUCUCCAUGGCAGGGCUGUUGAAAUGGUUCCUGUAUAAAAAGAUAAAAACAACAAUAAGAACUGGAACCUUAAUGCAAAAAAAGUGAGGGAAAACUCACCUAAUAAUCACUCAGAAAAUGUUAGUGAAAGGAACCCUAGUGGAGAGACAAUGGGGAAAUCUCAUCAGUCGCUCAGGUAGUUAAAGCACUGAAACAGGGACUGGAAAGUGGAAGUUAUUGCGUUUUCUGUGUAUUUGGGAUAGGCUUCCUUGGAAACACCUUCACUAGUGAAGCAAUUGUAGAAGUAAAAAUAGUGACUUUAGAUAAUAGCCUUAAGCCUGUUCCAAGAAGGCCGGACAAGAGAGGAGAGCUUCUACUCCUUUUUUCCAAUAGGAUUGAAAUCAGUUGAAGUAAAAUACCUAACUUUCCUGACCUUCAGGUCCUGCCCAGGUGAAAAACUGGCACAUAACAUUUCUUAUAAGAUCGUUUCUGUAUCCCCAGGGCCUGGUGGGAAAGGGAAAUCAUCUCUUCCACAUAUGGAGAUGCACAGACAACUUAAGAACUUAAGAACAACUUGCCCAACCUACUUCUGGUUCAAAUGAUAAAACCGGGUUUGAAGGCUAAAAUUUAGGGUUUUGAGAAAACCAAGAAAAAAAUAAGGAAGGAUUAGUGGCUAAAUCUAUCUAAGAGUGGAAGAAGAAAAAAAAAAUCUAGGGAC